rnacentral:rRNA from 1 species
GCCGCGUGAGUGAUGAAGGCCUUCGGGUCGUAAAGCUCUGUCAGAGGGAAAGAAGUGCGGGUGGCUAAUAUCCAUACCGCUUUGACGGUACCCUCAAAGGAAGCACCGGCUAACUCCGUGCCAGCAGCCGCGGUAAUACGGAGGGUGCGAGCGUUGUUCGGUAAUUAUUGGGCGUAAAGCGCGUGUAGGCGGUUUUUUAAGUCUGAUGUGAAAGCCCCGGGCUCAACCUGGGAAGUGCAUUGGAAACUGGGAGACUUGAAUACGGGAGAGGGUAGUGGAAUUCCUGGUGUAGGAGUGAAAUCCGUAGAUAUCAGGAGGAACACCGGUGGCGAAGGCGGCUGCCUGGACCGAUAUUGACGCUGAGACGCGAAAGCGUGGGGAGCAAACAGGAUUAGAUACCCUGGUAGUCCACGCCGUAAACGAUGAGUACUAGGUGUCGCGGGUAUUGACCCCUGCGGUGCCGCAGCUAACGCAUUAAGUACUCCGCCUGGGAAGUACGGCCGCAAGGCUA